GCCAAUGUGAUGUAGUGGUUUGAGUGUUAGAUUAUGACUCUGGAGACCAGGGUUCAAUUCCCUGCGUGGCCA
rnacentral:tRNA from 1 species